rnacentral:rRNA from 1 species
AGAGUUUGAUCCUGGCUCAGGACGAACGCUGGCGGCGCGCCUAACACAUGCAAGUCGAACGAGCGAGAGAGAGCUUGCUUUCUUGAGCGAGUGGCGAACGGGUGAGUAACGCGUGAGGAACCUGCCUCAAAGAGGGGGACAACAGUUGGAAACGACUGCUAAUACCGCAUAAGCCCACGGCUCGGCAUCGAGCAGAGGGAAAAGGAGCAAUCCGCUUUGAGAUGGCCUCGCGUCCGAUUAGCUAGUUGGUGAGGUAACGGCCCACCAAGGCGACGAUCGGUAGCCGGACUGAGAGGUUGAACGGCCACAUUGGGACUGAGACACGGCCCAGACUCCUACGGGAGGCAGCAGUGGGGAAUAUUGCACAAUGGGGGAAACCCUGAUGCAGCGACGCCGCGUGGAGGAAGAAGGUCUUCGGAUUGUAAACUCCUGUUGUUGAGGAAGAUAAUGACGGUACUCAACAAGGAAGUGACGGCUAACUACGUGCCAGCAGACGCGGUAAAACGUAGGUCACAAGCGUUGUCCGGAAUUACUGGGUGUAAAGGGAGCGCAGGCGGGAAGACAAGUUGGAAGUGAAAUCCAUGGGCUCAACCCAUGAACUGCUUUCAAAACUGUUUUUCUUGAGUAGUGCAGAGGUAGGCGGAAUUCCCGGUGUAGCGGUGGAAUGCGUAGAUAUCGGGAGGAACACCAGUGGCGAAGGCGGCCUACUGGGCACCAACUGACGCUGAGGCUCGAAAGUGCGGUAGCAAACAGGAUUAGAUACCCUGGUAGUCCACACUGUAAACGAUGAUUACUAGGUGUUGGAGGAUUGACCCCUUCAGUGCCGCAGUUAACACAAUAAGUAAUCCACCUGGGGAGUACGACCGCAAGGUUGAAACUCAAAGGAAUUGACGGGGGCCCGCACAAGCAGUGGAGUAUGUGGUUUAAUUCGACGCAACGCGAAGAACCUUACCAAGUCUUGACAUCCUGCGACGCACAUAGAAAUAUGUUUUUCCUUCGGGACGCAGAGACAGGUGGUGCAUGGUUGUCGUCAGCUCGUGUCGUGAGAUGUUGGGUUAAGUCCCGCAACGAGCGCAACCCUUAUGGUCAGUUACUACGCAAGAGGACUCUGGCCAGACUGCCGUUGACAAAACGGAGGAAGGUGGGGAUGACGUCAAAUCAUCAUGCCCUUUAUGACUUGGGCUACACACGUACUACAAUGGCGUUAAACAAAGAGAAGCAAGACCGCGAGGUGGAGCAAAACUCAGAAACAACGUCCCAGUUCGGACUGCAGGCUGCAACUCGCCUGCACGAAGUCGGAAUUGCUAGUAAUCGCAGAUCAGCAUGCUGCGGUGAAUACG